GACGUAGGGGGCCAGCGUUGUUCGGAAUUACUGGGUGUAAAGGGUUCGUAGGCGGUGUAGCAAGUCGGGAGUGAAAUCUCUGGGCUUAACCCAGAGGCUGCUUCCGAAACUGCUGUGCUUGAGUGUGGGAGAGGCGCGUGGAAUUGCAGGUGUAGCGGUGAAAUGCGUAGAUAUCUGCAGGAACACCCGUGGCGAAAGCGGCGCGCUGGGCCACUACUGACGCUGAGGAACGAAAGCCAGGGGAGCGAACGGG
rnacentral:rRNA from 1 species